rnacentral:misc_RNA from 1 species
ACGUGACCGCGGAAGGAUCAUUACCGAGUGAGGGCCCUCUGGGUCCAACGUCCCACCCGUGUCUAUCGUACCUUGUUGCUUCGGCGGGCCCGCCGUUUCGACGGCCGCCGGGGAGGCCUUGCGCCCCCGGGCCCGCGCCCGCCGAAGACCCCAACAUGAACGCUGAUCUGAAAGUAUGCAGUCUGAGUUGAUUAUCGUAAUCAGUUAAAACUUUCAACAACGGAUCUCUUGGUUCCGGCAUCGAUGAAGAACGCAGCGAAAUUGCGAUUAAGUUAAUUGUGAAUUUGCAGAAUUUCAGUGAAUUCAUCGAGUUCUUUGAACGCACAUKGCGCCCCCUGGUAUUCCGGGGGGGCAUGCCUGUCCGAGCGUCAUUGCUGCCCUCAAGCACGGCUUGUGUGUUGGGCCCCCGUCCCCCGGGAGAGGGGGACGGGCCCGAAAGGCAGCGGCGGCACCGCGUUCCGGNUCCUUCGAGCGUAUGGGGCUUUGUCACCNUGCUUCUUGUAGGCCCGGCCGGCGCCAGCCGCACACCCAACUUUAUUUUUCNUAAGGUUGCACCUGGCA